rnacentral:rRNA from 1 species
UACGAGAGGCCCAAACGUUAUUCGGAAUUACUGGGCUUAAAGAGUUCGUAGGCGGCAUGAAAAGUAGGGUGUGAAAGCCCUCGGCUCAACCGAGGAAUUGCGCUCUAAACUGUCGUGCUCGAGGAACCUAGAGGUGAGCAGAACUGAUGGUGGAGCGGUGAAAUGCGUUGAUAUCAGGAAGAACACCCGUGGCGAAAGCGGCUCUCUGGGACGGUACUGACGCUGAGACGCGAAAGCGUGGGGAGCGAACAGG